CUUUGUGCAUGUGAGGACAAAUAACAUUUGAUCUUGCAGUGCCACAACAGCGACUGCAGGCUUAUCUUGAACAUCGAGUUGCUAUGGCAUGCAGUUAAACAGCACAAUUUUAGUUAUUUUUCAUGCGAAGUUAACAUGCUAUAUAUGACGAGUAUAUUAGUGCAUAAAUUACAUUGCUAGACAGAAGAUUUCAGGCAGUCUAAUACCUUGCUUAGUUUAUAUGCACAACUAGCAAUUGUUCACGCUAAUAAUUACGAUGAGCUGGGGUGUGUGGUAAUGAUUUAGCUCCGGCUAAGGUAAGCUAUAAGGCAUGUUAGUCGAUGGGCUGGAGAUCAUUGCAUUAUGAUAGGGCAGUGAUGGCGAACCUUUUUGAGCCCGAGUGCCCAAACCGCAAUACAUGCCAACUUUUUUUCCCUCAAAAUGCCAACACGGCAAUUAAACCUGAAUACUGAGGUUUAAGUUUAGAAAAAACAACUGGUACAGUCGAGUGUCUGUGUGACCAUGGAGCCUGUAGCUGAGCAGGUCAUGAAUGCCCCAUGCUGGUCAGGUCAUGCUGUUUCGCUUCCUGGCCGGCGGCCACAUUUGCCUCUCCCUGUCUAGAUGUGGUGUAGUGGGUGGUUAGCUGGGGACUGGGUAGCGAUACCAUGUGGGGUGCCAAGUCGCCUUGCUUAAGGGUUGGGCAGGUAAACCCCGUUGCUGGUUACCUGUUUGCUGGAGCCCCAGUCUGUUUGAGAUGGUGAGGUGUUGCUCAGAUGGCCAUGUGGCGGCGAGGCAGUGCGGCCAUCUGAGCAACACCUCACCAUCUCAAACAGACUGGGGCCAUUUUAGAUCCAGGACCUCGGAUUGUGCC